rnacentral:lncRNA from 13 species
ACAAUUGAAUCAAAAAAUUCAAACUAGACGUUGAAUUGACUUCCUUGCCCAGUGGGCUGCCAUGUUGAGACAGAGACACAUUGUUUGGGUGGUGUGAAAUUGAGCUUCAUAAGCAAACCGUUUCAAUGGCUCAGUGGGUUAGCCUUGCGAUCAGGCUGGGUUAGAGGAGGGUACUACAGACAACAUCAGGCUGGGUUAGAGCAGGGUACUACUGGCAACAUCAGGCUGGGUUAG